UCCUGGUUAACCCAGGCAGUCUCGUUAGAGUUCCCACCAUUACGUGUUGGCAACUAACGAUAAGGGUUGCGCUCGUUGCGGGACUUAACCCAACACCUCACGGCACGAGCUGACGACAGCCAUGCAGCACCUGUGCAGCAGUCCCGAAGGAAGAUAUCAUUUCUGAUACUGUCUACUGCAUGUCAAGCCUGGGUAAGGUUCUUCGCGUUGCAUCGAAUUAAGCC
rnacentral:misc_RNA from 1 species